UGUCCAAUGCGGGAAUUGAACCCGGGUCCUAGUGGUCGAAAACCAAACGGUUUUAACCAGCCUUCCACCGACCCCCGAGCCCAACAUGGAU
rnacentral:tRNA from 1 species